AUUGAACGCUGGCGGCAGGCCUAACACAUGCAAGUCGAGCGAGCGGCGGACGGGUGAGUAAUGUAUGGGGACUGCCCGAUAGAGGGGGAUAACUACUGGAAACGGUGGCUAAUACCGCAUACUAUCGGAUAACCCAUAUGGGAUUAGCUAGUAGGUGGGGUAAAGGCUCACCUAGGCGACGAUCGCUAGCUGGUCUGAGAGGAUGAUCAGCAACACGGGGACGGAGACACGGCCCAGACGCCUACGGAGGCAGCAGUGGGGAAUAGUGCACAAUGGGCGCAAGCAGGAUGAAGCCAUGCCGCGUGUAGGAAGAAGGCCUUAGGGUGGUAAAGUACUUUCAGCGGGGAGGCGUUACCCGCAGAAGAAGCACCGGCUAACUCCGUGCCAGCCGCCGCGGUAAUUA
rnacentral:rRNA from 1 species